rnacentral:rRNA from 1 species
GACAGAGGGUGCAACCGUUGUUCGGAAUUACUGGGCAUAAAGCGCACGUAGGUGGUCCACUAAGUCGAGUGUGAAAUCCCCCGGCUCAACCGGGGAAUUGCGCUCGAUACUGGCGGGCUAGAGGUCGAUAGGGGUGAGCGGAAUUCCCAGUGUAGCGGUGAAAUGCGUAGAGAUCGGGAGGAACACCAGUGGCGAAGGCGGCUACCUGGACCAGCACUGACACUGAGGCACGAAAGCGUGGGGAGCAAACAGG